UCAACGCCAGUACUCAAGUCAACCUUCCAGUGGCCGCGUAUUCCGUGUUUUACUCCGCGACUACGAUCUUGUAAAAACGUUUCGUCUUGGCAUUACCCCAACCCCGUGUGUACUCACCCUCCUCUGUGGCACCCUAGCGUUUAAACCUUCCCCUGUGGCACCCCAGCACCUAUCUUUGACACCUUAAUUCCCCCUAUGUAACACCCUGCGUACCCUCCCUUCCUUUGUCUCCCUUUGAAAAGUGGAGAUCCCAGACUUGCCCCAGAACGCGUCACAUCUCACCCGCGCUUGCCCGUCUAAACCUAACUUCAUAUAACUCUCCAGUGUUAUUCCAUCUCUUCUCACUGCUGGAUAGUUUAUUUUAUGCGUUGCGAUCCGUUUUCAUGUCUUUCUGUAGUGCCUCAAUGUCACGGUUUGAGCUCCAACCGCAGAACACUCAGCCAGUCUCUUGCAGAAGUAGAUUUCUUGAACCCCUACUAGAAAAAAAAGAACCAAUCCAAACUGCAGAACUAGAAAGUUUGAACUCCCGAUAGGAAAAAGAAAAAUGGAAAAGAUCCUGCAGAAUCACCAGGAGAAAAAGAAACCAGCAAGCCUGCGGUCGAGAAAGCAAUCCCUCGUCCAGUUGAAGGAUGGGCUGUGCAGGAGACUCCACCGCCGAAGGAGCAUCCUCACAGACCCUAACUCACCAGGGCUUUCUUCCCUCCUGAGGAACAUCAACACGCAGAUAGCAGCCACGAGUAACUUCUCUGUCAACGAACUUGAAGAUGGGGCUGCGGUGGGGCGGCAGGUCAGGUCCAGCUCCGUGCCGCCCUUUGCCAUCCAUGACACCCUCGAAGCCUCCUAUAAUCAGACCGACGAUGGGGAUGACAGUGGCAGUGGAAGCUCCUCAUCCUCCAGCAGCGAGGAAGACGAGGACGAGGACGAUAUGCUUUUGGCGUUCAUGAACAACCAGCAUGCCUCUCCUCGCGACUCCACUUCUUCUCUUUAUGGUAAGUGUUGAUGACCGACGACUGUGGAGAGAGAACACGCGUAAGUAGGUGAGUAAGUGAGUAACGUAAGUAAAUAUAAGUAAGGAAGGAAGGAAGAGUAAAUGAAUGUAAGUAAAAGUUUUAGGAAGGAAAGAUGGAAGGGAAGGAUGGGCGGAGGGAGGGAAAGAAGGAAGGAAGGAAGGAAGGAAGGAAGAAAGGAAGGGAGGAAGGAUGAAGAGAAGGAAGAAAGCAGUAAAGAAAACGAAAAAAGAAAAGAAAGAAAGGAAGGAAGGAAGGAAGGAAAGAAGGAAGGAAGCAAUAAAGAAAAGAGAGAAAAAAAGAAGGAAGAAAGGAAGGAAGGAAGGAAAGAAGGAAGGAAGCAAUAAAGAAAAGAGAGAAAAAAAAGAAGGAAGGAAGAAAGAAAGGAAGGAAGGAAAGAAGAAAGAAGGAAGGAAAAUAGAAAAAGAAUGAAAAGAAAAGAAAUGAAGGAAAAAAAGGGAAGGAGAGAAUGAAAAAAAAGGAAGGAAGGAAAGAAGGAAGUAAAAUAGGGAUAAUGAAAGAAGGAUAAGGAAGGUAAAAAGACAGAAAAUAGGGAAAAAAGCGAAGGACAGAAGGAGGAAAAAGAAGAAAAGUGGAAAGGAAGGAAAGAAGCGGAUGUGUAAGAAAAUAAGAGGAAAAAAGAAGGAAAAUGCAAAAAAUUAGAGACAGGAAACAGGAAGGAAAAGAUUGUGUUCCAAGAAUUUAAUGAACAAAAGUGAACAGAGAAAAAUAAAUAAAUGGAUAAAAUAAAGA